rnacentral:rRNA from 1 species
ACUUAAAUUGAAGAGUUUGAUCAUGGCUCAGAUUGAACGCUGGCGGCAGGCCUAACACAUGCAAGUCGAGCGGUAGCACAGAGAGCUUGCUCUCGGGUGACGAGCGGCGGACGGGUGAGUAAUGUCUGGGAAACUGCCUGAUGGAGGGGGAUAACUACUGGAAACGGUAGCUAAUACCGCAUAAUGUCGCAAGACCAAAGUGGGGGACCUUCGGGCCUCAUGCCAUCAGAUGUGCCCAGAUGGGAUUAGCUGGUAGGUGGGGUAACGGCUCACCUAGGCGACGAUCCCUAGCUGGUCUGAGAGGAUGACCAGCCACACUGGAACUGAGACACGGUCCAGACUCCUACGGGAGGCAGCAGUGGGGAAUAUUGCACAAUGGGCGCAAGCCUGAUGCAGCCAUGCCGCGUGUGUGAAGAAGGCCUUCGGGUUGUAAAGCACUUUCAGCGGGGAGGAAGGCGUUAAGGUUAAUAACCUUGGCGAUUGACGUUACCCGCAGAAGAAGCACCGGCUAACUCCGUGCCAGCAGCCGCGGUAAUACGGAGGGUGCAAGCGUUAAUCGGAAUUACUGGGCGUAAAGCGCACGCAGGCGGUCUGUCAAGUCGGAUGUGAAAUCCCCGGGCUCAACCUGGGAACUGCAUUCGAAACUGGCAGGCUAGAGUCUUGUAGAGGGGGGUAGAAUUCCAGGUGUAGCGGUGAAAUGCGUAGAGAUCUGGAGGAAUACCGGUGGCGAAGGCGGCCCCCUGGACAAAGACUGACGCUCAGGUGCGAAAGCGUGGGGAGCAAACAGGAUUAGAUACCCUGGUAGUCCACGCCGUAAACGAUGUCGAUUUGGAGGUUGUGCCCUUGAGGCGUGGCUUCCGGAGCUAACGCGUUAAAUCGACCGCCUGGGGAGUACGGCCGCAAGGUUAAAACUCAAAUGAAUUGACGGGGGCCCGCACAAGCGGUGGAGCAUGUGGUUUAAUUCGAUGCAACGCGAAGAACCUUACCUGGUCUUGACAUCCACAGAACUUUCCAGAGAUGGAUUGGUGCCUUCGGGAACUGUGAGACAGGUGCUGCAUGGCUGUCGUCAGCUCGUGUUGUGAAAUGUUGGGUUAAGUCCCGCAACGAGCGCAACCCUUAUCCUUUGUUGCCAGCGGUUAGGCCGGGAACUCAAAGGAGACUGCCAGUGAUAAACUGGAGGAAGGUGGGGAUGACGUCAAGUCAUCAUGGCCCUUACGACCAGGGCUACACACGUGCUACAAUGGCAUAUACAAAGAGAAGCGACCUCGCGAGAGCAAGCGGACCUCAUAAAGUAUGUCGUAGUCCGGAUUGGAGUCUGCAACUCGACUCCAUGAAGUCGGAAUCGCUAGUAAUCGUAGAUCAGAAUGCUACGGUGAAUACGUUCCCGGGCCUUGUACACACCGCCCGUCACACCAUGGGAGUGGGUUGCAAAAGAAGUAGGUAGCUUAACCUUCGGGAGGGCGCUUACCACUUUGUGAUUCAUGACUGGGGUGAAGUCGUAACAAGGUAACCGUAGGGGAACCUGCGGUUGGAUCACCUCCUUACCUUAAAGAA